rnacentral:rRNA from 1 species
UGACGCUGGCGGCAUGCCUAACACAUGCAAGUCGAACGGUAACGCGAGGAGCUUGCUCCUUGGCGACGAGUGGCGGACGGGUGAGUAAUACUUAGGAAUCUGCCCAGUAGUGGGGGACAACCAGGAGAAAUCCCGGCUAAUACCGCAUACGCACUACGGUGGAAAGUGGGGGACCUUCGGGCCUCACGCUAUUGGAUGAGCCUAAGUCGGAUUAGCUUGUAGGUAGGGUAAUGGCCUACCUAGGCGACGAUCCGUAGCUGGUCUGAGAGGACGAUCAGCCACACUGGGACUGAGACACGGCCCAGACUCCUACGGGAGGCAGCAGUGGGGAAUAUUGGACAAUGGGGGCAACCCUGAUCCAGCAAUGCCGCGUGUGUGAAGAAGGCCUGCGGGUUGUAAAGCACUUUCAGUAGAGAAGAAAAGCCUAGGGUUAAUACCCCUGAGUCUUGACGUAACCUACAGAAGAAGCACCGGCUAACUCCGUGCCAGCAGCCGCGGUAAU